rnacentral:lncRNA from 1 species
GACGGAAUGAAAUCACAACAAUAUAUAUGAAAGUAUUAUAGGUUACCGCGUAUUCAGACAAAGAAAAGUCUAACUUAACCACAGAAUAACGACCGAGAUAUCUAAAUUCCAGUCAUUGCACUUUAUAUCAACAUAACCUCAUUACACAUACAUAUUCUUGGCAGCAAUUCUGACACAGUACCUUAUUCUAAUCGUUUACAAAAACAUAACACCUUGUAGUGUUUUAAUAGUUUCUGACUGUGUGAAUGUUUGAAAAAGUAGUUAAGUAUAAAACAUCAUUGUAUAAAGUUAAUGUAAUAGCAGAUUAUGUUCCACUUAUCGUAGUUAUUCAUUUUCUUUCUAAAAUUAAGACCCUAAAAUAACUUCCAUACCGUACGGUGACCUAUAGUUGCAAAAUUUCUGUG